AGAUUAAACUGAAGAGUUUGAUCCUGGCUCAGAUUGAACGCUGGCGGGAUGCUUUACACAUGCAAGUCGGACGGCAGCACGGGGCUUCGGCCUGGUGGCGAGUGGCGAACGGGUGAGUAAUGUAUCGGAACGUGCCCGGUAGCGGGGGAUAACUACGCGAAAGCGUGGCUAAUACCGCAUACGCCCUACGGGGGAAAGCGGGGGACCUUCGGGCCUCGCACUAUUGGAGCGGCCGAUAUCGGAUUAGCUAGUUGGUGGGGUAACGGCCUACCAAGGCGACGAUCCGUAGCUGGUUUGAGAGGACGACCAGUCACACUGGGACUGAGACACGGCCCAGACUCCUACGGGAGGCAGCAGUGGGGAAUUUUGGACAAUGGGGGCAACCCUGAUCCAGCCAUCCCGCGUGUGCGAUGAAGGCCUUCGGGUUGUAAAGCACUUUUGGCAGGAAAGAAACGGCACGGGCUAAUAUCCUGUGCAACUGACGGUACCUGCAGAAUAAGCACCGGCUAACUACGUGCCAGCAGCCGCGGUAAUACGUAGGGUGCAAGCGUUAAUCGGAAUUACUGGGCGUAAAGCGUGCGCAGGCGGUUCGGAAAGAAAGAUGUGAAAUCCCAGGGCUUAACCUUGGAACUGCAUUUUAACUACCGAGCUAGAGUGUGUCAGAGGGAGGUGGAAUUCCGCGUGUAGCAGUGAAAUGCGUAGAUAUGCGGAGGAACACCGAUGGCGAAGGCAGCCUCCUGGGAUAACACUGACGCUCAUGCACGAAAGUGUGGGGAGCAAACAGGAUUAGAUACCCUGGUAGUCCACGCCCUAAACGAUGUCAACUAGCUGUUGGGGCCUUCGGGCCUUGGUAGCGCAGCUAACGCGUGAAGUUGACCGCCUGGGGAGUACGGUCGCAAGAUUAAAACUCAAAGGAAUUGACGGGGACCCGCACAAGCGGUGGAUGAUGUGGAUUAAUUCGAUGCAACGCGAAAAACCUUACCUACCCUUGACAUGUCUGGAAUCCCGAAGAGAUUUGGGAGUGCUCGCAAGAGAACCGGAACACAGGUGCUGCAUGGCUGUCGUCAGCUCGUGUCGUGAGAUGUUGGGUUAAGUCCCGCAACGAGCGCAACCCUUGUCAUUAGUUGCUACGAAAGGGCACUCUAAUGAGACUGCCGGUGACAAACCGGAGGAAGGUGGGGAUGACGUCAAGUCCUCAUGGCCCUUAUGGGUAGGGCUUCACACGUCAUACAAUGGUCGGGACAGAGGGUUGCCAACCCGCGAGGGGAGCCAAUCCCAGAAACCCGGUCGUAGUCCGGAUCGCAGUCUGCAACUCGACUGCGUGAAGUCGGAAUCGCUAGUAAUCGCGGAUCAGCAUGUCGCGGUGAAUACGUUCCCGGGUCUUGUACACACCGCCCGUCACACCAUGGGAGUGGGUUUUACCAGAAGUAGUUAGCCUAACCGCAAGGGGGGCGAUUACCACGGUAGGAUUCAUGACUGGGGUGAAGUCGUAACAAGGUAGCCGUAUCGGAAGGUGCGGCUGGAUCACCUCCUUU
rnacentral:rRNA from 1 species